rnacentral:rRNA from 1 species
AUUGAACGCUGGCGGCAGGCCUAACACAUGCAAGUCGAGCGGGGUUUUCGGACCUAGCGGCGGACGGGUGAGUAAUGCGUAGGAAGCUACCCGAUAGAGGGGGAUACCAGUUGGAAACGACUGUUAAUACCGCAUAAUGUCUACGGACCAAAGUGUGGGACCUUCGGGCCACAUGCUAUCGGAUGCGCCUACGUGGGAUUAGCUAGUUGGUGAGGUAAUGGCUCACCAAGGCGACGAUCCGUAACUGGUCUGAGAGGAUGAUCAGUCACACUGGAACUGAGACACGGUCCAGACUCCUACGGGAGGCAGCAGUGGGGAAUAUUGGACAAUGGGCGAAAGCCUGAUCCAGCCAUGCCGCGUGUGUGAAGAAGGUCUUCGGAUUGUAAAGCACUUUAAGUUGGGAGGAAGGGUACCACUAGAAUAAGCACCGGCUAACUCCGUGCCAG